rnacentral:rRNA from 1 species
AUUGAACGCUGGCGGCAUGCCUUACACACGCAAGUCGAACGGCAGCACGGGUGCUUGCACCUGGUGGCGAGUGGCGAACGGGUGAGGAAUACAUCGGAACAUGUCCUGUAGUGGGGGAUAGCCCGGCGAAAGCCGGAUUAAUACCGCAUACGAUCUACGGAUGAAAGCGGGGGACCUUCGGGCCUCGCGCUAUAGGGUUGGCCGAUGGCUGAUUAGCUAGUUGGUGGGGUAAAGGCCUACCAAGGCGACGAUCAGUAGCUGGUCUGAGAGGACGACCAGCCACACUGGGACUGAGACACGGCCCAGACUCCUACGGGAGGCAGCAGUGGGGAAUUUUGGACAAUGGGCGAAAGCCUGAUCCAGCAAUGCCGCGUGUGUGAAGAAGGCCUUCGGGUUGUAAAGCACUUUUGUCCGGAAAGAAAUCCUUGGCCCUAAUACGGUCGGGGGAUGACGGUACCGGAAGAAUAAGCACCGGCUAACUACGUG